rnacentral:tRNA from 1 species
UGUUGUAGCUCAGUGGUAGAGCGCUUGCCUAGCAUGCAUGAGGUACUGGGUUCGAUCCCCAGCACCA